GACGAACGCUGGCGGCGUGCUUAACACAUGCAAGUCGAACGGAAAGGCCCUGCGUUUGUGGGGUGCUCGUGUGGCGAACGGGUGAGUAAAACGUGAGUAACAUGCACUUGACUGUGGGAGAACUUCAGGAAACUGGGGCGAAUACAGGAUAGGAGCUCCUGAUGCAUGGGGGGGGUUGGAAAGUUUCGGCGGUUGGGGAUGGACUCGCGGCUUAUGAGCUGGUUGGUGGGGUAGUGGCUUACCAAGGCUUUGACGGGUAGCCGGCCUGAGAGGGUGACCGGCCACAUUGGGACUGAGAUACGGCCCAGACUCCUACGGGAGGCAGCAGUGGGGAAUAUUGCACAAUGGGCGGAAGCCUGAUGCAGCAACGCCGCGUGCGGGAUGACGGCCUUCGGGUUGUAAACCGCUUUCGCCUGUGACGAAGCGUGAGUGACGGUAAUGGGUAAAGAAGCACCGGCUAACUACGUG
rnacentral:rRNA from 1 species